CCUAUCAACCGCCCCUCGCCGAUCCUGCACUCCCACCUGCAGUGCAAAAUUCUCAAAUACCACCUAAAAAAUUACAACAACAUCAAAGAUCAAAUAACAUCAAACAACGAUCCCCAAAACCACCAAAUCCUAAUCGUUCACCAAAUACCACCUAAAAAAUUUCACGACUAGAAAAAACAAAACAGAGCAAAAUUAGAUAAUUUUUUUUUUUUAAAAAAAGACAUCAGCAAAAUUAGCCAAAAUUACGAGAAUAUAUACAACCCAGCAU
rnacentral:lncRNA from 1 species